rnacentral:rRNA from 1 species
AAGCCAUGCAUGUCUAAGUGUAAGCAAUUAUACAGCGAAACUGCGAAUGGCUCAUUAUAUAAGUUAUCGUUUAUUUGAUAGUGCCUUACUACAUGGAUAACCGUGGUAAUUCUAGAGCUAAUACAUGCUAAAAAUCCCGACUUCGGAAGGGAUGUAUUUAUUAGAUUAAAAGCCAAUGCCCUUCUGGGCUAACUGGUGAUUCAUAAUAACUUCUCGAAUCGCACGGCCUUGCGCCGGCGAUGGUUCAUUCAAAUUUCUUCCCUAUCAACUUUCGAUGUUUGGGUAGUGGCCAAACAUGGUGGCAACGGGUAACGGAGGGUUAGGGCUCGACCCCGGAGAAGUAGCCUGAGAAACGGCUUCUACAUCCAAGGAAGGCAGCAGGCGCGCAAAUUACUCAAUGCUGAUACAGCGAAGUAGUGACGAUAAAUACUGAUACAGGGCUCUUUUGGGUCUUGUAAUCGGAAUGAGUACAAUUUAAACCCCUUAACGAGGAACAAUUGGAGGGCAAGUCUGGUGCCAGCAGCCGCGGUAAUUCCAGCUCCAAUAGCGUAUAUUAAAGUUGUUGUGGUUAAAAAGCUCGUAGUUGAACCUUGGGCCUGGCUGGCCGGUCCGCCUCACCGCGUGUACUGGUCCGGCCGGGCCUUUCCCUCUGUGGAACCCCAUGCCCUUAACUGGGCGUGGCGGGGAAACAGGACUUUUACUUUGAAAAAAUUAGAGUGCUCCAGGCAGGCCUAUGCUCGAAUACAUUAGCAUGGAAUAAUGAAAUAGGACGCGUGGUUCUAUUUUGUUGGUUUCUAGGACCGCCGUAAUGAUUAAUAGGGACAGUCGGGGGCAUCAGUAUUCAAUUGUCAGAGGUGAAAUUCUUGGAUUUAUUGAAGACUAACUACUGCGAAAGCAUUUGCCAAGGAUGUUUUCAUUAAUCAGGAACGAAAGUUAGGGGAUCGAAGACGAUCAGAUACCGUCGUAGUCUUAACCAUAAACUAUGCCGACUAGGGAUCGGGCGAUGUUACUUAUUGACUCGCUCGGCACCUUACGAGAAAUCAAAGUGCUUGGGCUCCAGGGGGAAUAUGGUCGCAAGG